rnacentral:rRNA from 1 species
AAAUGAAUUGACGGGGGCCCGCACAAGCAGCGGAGCGUGUGGUUUAAUUCGAUGCAACACGAAGAACCUUACCUGGGCUUGACAUGAACGUGGUAGGGAGCUGAAAGGUGACCGACCCUUCGGGGAGCGUUCACAGGUGCUGCAUGGCUGUCGUCAGCUCGUGCCGUGAGGUGUUGGGUUAAGUCCCACAACGAGCGCAACCCUCGUUGCCAGUUAGAGAUUUCUGGCGAGACUGCCGGCGUAUAACCGGAGGAAGGUGGGGAUGACGUCAAGUCAGCAUGGCCUUUAUGUCCAGGGCUACACACACGCUACAAUGGUCGGUACAGAGGGCAGCCAAGCCGUGAGGCGGAGCUAAUCCCACAAAGCCGAUCUCAGUUCAGAUUGCAGGCUGCAACCCGCCUGCAUGAAGUCGGAGUUGCUAGUAACCGCAGGUCAGCUAUACUGCGGUGAAUACGUUCCCGGGCCUUGUACACACCGCCCGU